CCUGUUCAAACUAUGGCUCAUUGAGGCUGCGGCUCUUCACGGGGGAGCAUCAUAACCGCGGAGCAGCAGCGGAGAACAUCCCUGCACCGAACCGUGAGGAGGAUCCAGCAUCUUCGAGUCCCGACCGGAGAUAAUCUCCUGGAUCCAUCUCGGUUAAGGAUCCAUGCCAUGGAUUAAGGGGUCAAACCAACCAAGUUACGUUUCAGCGCUGACACGUGUGGAAAAGUUAUACUUUCUGCCUUCAGCUGGAGGAUUAAAACUGAUUUAAACCAAGGAUCGUUUUUAAUGGAAUAGAGGAAUUGUUCUCCCCCCCAGGAUGAGUUGGAUCUGUUGCUGUUUUGCUCCUGCUGUUGAACAAGUCGGCUCACGGACACUCGCUUCUCUCUGGAAACACGCACAGUCCAGAGUGGUCAAUAAGAAGAUGCGUAAGGCUACCCUACUUUUUUUGGAUAUUUGGAACUUAUGCUCCCUAUCGGAUUUGGACGUGCCACAAGGAAAAAUACGGAUAGAAACAUCCUGGAAUAUAACCGAAAGCUGUGCUUGGUGACUUUCCAGUGAUUACUAUGGUCAAAAUGAGCCUCCUGAACAAGCAGGUCCUCUGCCUCUCUCUGAGCUUGAAGAGCAAGGAUGAAGGCCCGUCAGAGCUGUCUGCCUUGCAUACAUCACUCUCCGCUGAGCUUUUAUCUAGCCAGACUGGUCUUUCCUCCAUCCAGACCCGGCUCCCGGCAAGUGCACCGUCCUGAGACCUGUGGCAUUAAUAAAGAUAAUGCUGUUUGGAAUAAUAACAGCCAAUUCGACCCAAAAGAGGAAAGAGACAGGACAUACAAGUGUCAUGGAAUACAAAAGAAAUCAAGAUGAAAGGCUGAAAGGUGACCUCAGGUGAAUAGGCUGAGUAAUGGAAACAUUAUCUCAACAGUUUUAAAAGGAUCGCACCUAAUCAUGGGUUGGACGGUGGACCUGCAUCCUCCUGCAGCAGAUGUUCGGUCCUGGCACGACAGAUGACAGAGUGAGCUACUUCCCUGACGAUGUAGCUGUCAGGAUCGAGCCAGUAGUCGAACUUGGAAAAAGCUGUGACAUACACUCAGAGGCAGAGUGAGGAGGAUUCAGCAGCUCAGACACUGUGGAACACAUGUGUCAACAUCUGGAUACACGCUCAGUAGAAAAAUCGAUGUAAUAAAUGUACUAAUGCCACAGUUACAUCAACCAUCUUCACAUUGUUUGACUUUCUCAUUUUUUCCUGAAUUGAAUUUGGAUAAAUAUUGUUCCUGCAUGUGCAUAUGCUCUUGAUUUUCAGCGUUUCUUCAUGCUGUGACAUUUAUGCUCGACACGAUUUCACCAACCACUGGAAAAUUUAAAGGACAAUAAUCAGAUGGACUUUGUAUUUUUAUACAGUUUUUUUGCACACAUGAAAUACAGAACAUAAAAUCUAUUCUGUACAGCGCCAUGCAAAGGUAUUCAUGCUUAUUGAACUUUUCAACAACAAACUUUAAUGUAUUGUAAAGGGAUUUUAUAUCAGGCUAAAACAAAGAUCAUGAUAGUAAUUUUAAAGAGAAGGAAGACACUUUUUAAAAAAAAAAGGUUUACAGAUACAAUUCUGAAACGUGUGGCAUGCAUACGUAUUCACCUUUUGCUGCCAUUACAGCUUCAAGUUUUAUGGGUAUGUCUCUGCCAACUUAGUUUCAGUAGACACUGAAAUUCUUCCAAUUCAUCUUCGCAGAAGAGCUCAAACUUGAGUAACACUGAAAAUCUGUGUCUGUGAGCGUUGGUUUUUGUGUUUUGCUAAAGAUCUCCAAUUACAUUUAGGUCUGGACUUUGACAGGACCAUUUCAACAGCCUCUAACAGGCUUUCUUCCAGGGUUGCUCAGUAUGCAGCUCCACCUGUCUUCCCAUCAGUUAUGACCAACUCCCUGCUGAAGAAACAAAUUCCCACAGCAUGCUGCCCCCACUACCAUAUUUUACUAUAAUGAUGUUGCAAUGAUAGUUUUCACCUUUCUGAAGCUGGUCUUAUUUAGAGAUAGCAGAGUAAGGGGGCUAAAGACAAAAGCAUGCCACAUACUAUGUAUCCAUUAGAGUCUGUUCUAAACUUUACAGUUGUGCACUAUUGUGUGUUCACAAUACAAUGUAUUGAGGUUUGUGGUUGUAAAAUGUAUAAAGGUGAAACAUUUCAAGGGCCAUCAGUACUUCAAAAAAUGAACUUGCUUGUGAUCAAGGUGCUGCACAGAGCCGGUUUAUUUAGUGGAAUUACCGUUUCUGUCUUCCAGUUACCUUCACAAAGGCGCCAUUGUUUCAGGUUUUAUUGAUGAAUGCAAACCGAAAACACUCCCAAAUGCAUUUCUUUGUGACACAUUGGCAGAGUUUUGAUGUAGGCUGAAGAUCCUGGCAAAUCCUUGCAUUCUGAUCAUGAUUUAUAGCUCUGCCAUUUUUGUUAUGUCUGCAGAAACCUGAUAGCAGAAAUAAAAAAAGUAUAUUUAA